UACGGAGGAUGCAAGCGUUAUCCGGAAUUAUUGGGCGUAAAGCGUCCGCAGGUGGUUCUCCAAGUCUGCUGUUAAAGCGCGAGGCUUAACUUCGUACAGGCAGUGGAAACUGGGUGACUGGAGUAUGGUAGGGGUAGCGGGAGUUCCCAGUGUAGCGGUGAAAUGCGUAGAUAUUGGGAAGAACACCAGCGGCGAAAGCGCGCUACUGGGCCAUUACUGACACUCAUGGACGAAAGCUAGGGGAGCGAAAGGG
rnacentral:rRNA from 1 species